GUGAGGGACAGGUGAGGGGACAGGUGAGGGGACAGGUGAGGGGACAGGUGAGGGGACAGGUGAGAGGACAGGGGGACAGGUGAGGGGACAGGUGAGAGGACAGGUGAGGGGACAGGUGAGAGGACAGGUGAGGGGACAGGUGAGGGGACA